AACUUCAGAGUGGCCAAGUCUACAUGUAAAAUUUGUAGGGAUGCACCAAUACAGAUACCAGUAUCGGGUAUCGGUCCGGUACUGAGCGUGUGUACUAAUACUCAUACUCGUAUAAGUGCUCCAAUACAAACACACCGAUACCACUUGACGACAGCGUGACGUUCACCUUAUAGUGCAGCAGGUACGUGGCUGAGGAGUAAUGUCAGUAGUCUGGAGAUUUUUCAAGAUAAACGACGGUGACAAAAGUAACAGUG